UACGAAGGGGGCUAGCGUUGCUCGGAAUGACUGGGCGUAAAGGGCGCGUAGGCGGUCGGCUUAGUCAGGCGUGAAAGUCCUGGGCUUAACCUGGGGACGGCGCUUGAUACGGGCUGCCUUGAGUGGGGAAGAGGGCCGUGGAAUUCCCAGUGUAGAGGUGAAAUUCGUAGAUAUUGGGAAGAACACCGGUGGCGAAGGCGGCGGCCUGGUCCUUUUACUGACGCUGAGGCGCGAAAGCGUGGGGAGCAAACAGG
rnacentral:rRNA from 1 species